ensembl:snRNA U6 U6 spliceosomal RNA
GUGCUCGCUUUGGCAGCACAUAUACUAAAAUUGGAAUGAUACAGAGAGGAUCAGCAUGGCCCCUGCACCCAUGGCAAGAAGAGGCCCAGACGGCUCUCCCUUAUCU